rnacentral:rRNA from 1 species
UACGGGGGGGGCAAGCGUUGUUCGGAAUUACUGGGCGUAAAGGGCUCGUAGGUGGCCAACUAAGUCAGACGUGAAAUCCCCAGGCUCAACUUGGGAACUGCGUCUGAUACUGGAUGGCUUGAAUUCGGGAGAGGGAUGCAGAAUUCCAGGUGUAGCGGUGAAAUGCGCAGAUAUCAGGAGGAACAUCGGUGGCGAAGGCGGGUCUCUGGGCCGAUAUCGACGCUGAGGAGCGAAAGCGUGGGGAGCGAACAGG